CUGGAGGUAUCAGAAGUGCGAAUGCUGACAUAAGUAACGAUAAAGCGGGUGAAAAGCCCGCUCGCCGGAAGACCAAGGGUUCCUGUCCAACGUUAAUCGGGGCAGGGUGAGUCGACCCCUAAGGCGAGGCCGAAAGGCGUAGUCGAUGGGAAACAGGUUAAUAUUCCUGUACUUGGUGUUACUGCGAAGGGGGGACGGAGAAGGCUAUGUUGGCCGGGCGACGGUUGUCCCGGUUUAAGCGUGUAGGCUGGUUUUCCAGGCAAAUCCGGAAAAUCAAGGCUGAGGCGUGAUGACGAGGCACUACGGUGCUGAAGCAACAAAUGCCCUGCUUCCAGGAAAAGCCUCUAAGCAUCAGGUAACAUCAAAUCGUACCCCAAACCGACACAGGUGGUCAGGUAGAGAAUACCAAGGCGCUUGAGAGAACUCGGGUGAAGGAACUAGGCAAAAUGGUGCCGUAACUUCGGGAGAAGGCACGCUGAUAUGUAGGUGAAGUCCCUCGCGGAUGGAGCUGAAAUCAGUCGAAGAUACCAGCUGG
rnacentral:rRNA from 1 species